AGGGUUUGAUUAUGGCUCAGAUUGAACGCUGGCGGCAGGCCUAAUACAUGCAAGUCGAACGGCAACAGAGAAGAAGCUUGCCUCUCCUGCUGACGAGUGGCGGACGGGUGAGUAAGAUCUGGGAAACUGCCUGACAGAGGGGGACAACAACUGGAAACGGUUGCUAAUACCGCAUAUUACCCUGAGGGGGAAAGUCGUAAGACGCUGUCAGAUGUGCCCAGAUGGGAUUAGCUAGUUGGUGAGGUAAAGGCUCACCAAGGCGACGAUCUCUAGCUGGUCUGAGAGGAUGAUCAGCCACAUUGGGACUGAGACACGGCCCAG
rnacentral:rRNA from 1 species